rnacentral:sRNA from 1 species
UUGACUUCGCUCUUCCGUCAGAAAUUUGGUUGCCUUUCAGGAAUCCGAAUAGAAAAUUCAGUUUGUUUCACACUUCCGAGAAUACAGUUUCGGGUUUCCUAUAAAAAUUCGGCAGUUUUUUACUUCGGUUGGACCCAGGGACACUUUUAUUUCAUAGAUGUCCAUGGGCCUUGGUCCUGUGCCCCCUUCAAUCAUCGUUGGAGGGGACAGUCCCCAAAAUGUCUUACUUCAGUUGGACCCAACGACACUUUUAUUCGUAGAUGUCUAUCGUCAUCUUCAUCGUCAUCGCCACUUGGUCUUGUGCCGCCUUCAAACAUCGUUGGAUGGAACAGUGCUGUACUGUUCCUUCAAAACUCUUAAACAGAUCGUCUUCGUGUCCUAUUUUAUCAAAAACUUAAUAUAUUUUGAUACUAUCAAUAAAUAUAUUUU